CUUUCAUUUCUGCUCAUACUUACAAGCUCCCUCAUCUGGAAAAGUUCUCCUUUUUAUCUGGAUCCUGCCAUGGUGUCCAUGCUUCUCAGCUUAGUGUCCCUUUGUCUCCUGGGUGCAAGACACACAUCAGCUGGGGUCACUCAGUUCCCCAGCCACAGGGUCAUAGAGAAGGAACGAGCUGUGACUCUGAGAUGCGACCCAAUUUCCGGGCAUGAAGGUCUUUAUUGGUACCGACGUGCUGUGGGGAAAGAGAUAAAAUUUCUGGUAUACUUCCUAAGAGAGUCUAAACGGGAUGAGUCAGGGAUGCCCAAGGAUCGGUUCUCAGCUGAGAGGACUGAAGGGACGUAUUCCACUCUGAAGAUCCAGCCUGCAGAGCUGGAUGAUUCUGGAGUUUAUUUCUGUGCCAGCAGCCAAGACACAGUGCUUCAGAGUCAUGCCCUUCCUGUAAAAAACCGGACCCUUCUCCCCUCUCCUCUCAACACAUGGCAGCCCUAA